UACUGGAAACGGUAGCUAAUACCGCAUAACGUCGCAAGACCAAAGAGGGGGACCUUCGGGCCUCUUGCCAUCGGAUGUGCCCAGAUGGGAUUAGCUAGUAGGUGGGGUAACGGCUCACCUAGGCGACGAUCCCUAGCUGGUCUGAGAGGAUGACCAGCCACACUGGAACUGAGACACGGUCCAGACUCCUACGGGAGGCAGCAUG
rnacentral:rRNA from 1 species